rnacentral:rRNA from 1 species
UACGUAGGGUGCGAGCGUUAAUCGGAAUUACUGGGCGUAAAGCGUGCGCAGGCGGCUCCGCAAGUCAGGCGUGAAAUCCCCGAGCUUAACUUGGGAAUGGCGCUUGAAACUACGGUGCUGGAGUGUGGCAGAGGGAGGUGGAAUUCCACGUGUAGCGGUGAAAUGCGUAGAGAUGUGGAGGAACACCGAUGGCGAAAGCAGCCUCCUGGGCCAACACUGACGCUCAUGCACGAAAGCGUGGGGAGCAAACAGG